AGGAAAUAGAUACCCGGGUAGUCCACGCCCUAAACGAUGUCGACUGGUUGUUGGGGGUUUGACACUCUCAGUAAACGAAAGCUAAACGCGUGAAAGUCGACCGCCUGGGGAGUACGGCCGCAAGGUUAAAACUCAAAGGAAUUGACGGGGACCCGCACAAGCGGUGGAUUAUGUGGAUUAAUUCGAUGCAACGCGAAAAAACCUUACCUACCCUUGACAUGUCCGGAAGGCUGCUGAAAGGCGGCUGUGCCCGAAAGGGAACUGGAACACAGGUGCUGCAUGGCUGUCGUCAGCUCGUGUCGUGAGAUGUUGGGUUAAGUCCCGCAACGAGCGCAACCCUUGUCAUUAGUUGCUACCCGCAAGGGAGCACUCUAAUGAGACUGCCGGUGACAAACCGGAGGAAGGUGGGGAUGACGUCAAGUCCUCAUGGCCCUUAUGGGUAGGGCUUCACACGUAAUACAAUGGCGCGUACAGAGGGUUGCCAAGGAGCGAUCUGGAGCCAAUCCCGUAAAGCGCGUCGUAGUCCGGAUUGCAGUCUGCAACUCGACUGC
rnacentral:rRNA from 1 species